UAGCUGCAGUAAAUUAACUGUACUAAGGUAGCAUAAUCAAUUGUUUUUUAAUUAAAAACUAGAAUGAAAGAUAAAAUGAGAAACUAACCCUUUUAUAAAUAAAAAGUAGAAUUUAAUUACUGAGUAAAAAAUCUCAGAUACAACUUUAAAAGACAAAAAGACCCUUUAGAACUUUACACAGAAACCUUGACAAUAGGGCGUAUGUAUUAAGUUGGGGAGACUGCAAAACAAAAAUCUUUUGCUUUACUAAUCCACUUAAAAGUGAAAAUAAAAUAGCCAAAUAUGAAAUAAAUCAAGUUACCUAAGGGAUAACAGCGUAAAACUUCUUGAAAGACCCCAUUUAUAGAAUUUAUUACGACCUCGAUGUUGGAUUAA
rnacentral:rRNA from 1 species